rnacentral:rRNA from 1 species
UACGUAGGUGGCCAGCGUUGUCCGGCUUUACUGGGCGUAAAGGAUGCGUAGGCGGACAUUUAAGUCAGACGUGAAAUACCCGAGCUUAACUUGGGUGCUGCAUUUGAAACUGGGUGUCUAGAGUGCAGGAGAGGUAAGUGGAAUUCCUAGUGUAGCGGUGAAAUGCGUAGAGAUUAGGAAGAACACCAGUGGCGAAGGCGACUUACUGGACUGUAACUGACGCUGAGGCAUGAAAGCGUGGGGAGCAAACAGG